GGUACUUCCGGUUUGGUGUCAGGCGUCGUGCAUUCUGGGAAAUGUAGUUUUUAGAGCCCGUCUGCGCCUGUGUUGGAUUGUGAAGUGCGGAGUCUCCUUUCCUUUAAAGCAAUAUAGUACUUCCUCCCAAAAGCGAGAUUGUUUAAAAUGCUACUUAUCCUUGUAGUUUGUUGUGGUAGCCGACAAAUUUUACUCUUGUGUCCAACGAUAAAGUCAAUGGGGAAAAAAGAAGAAACAAAACAUGCAACUCAUGUCGCAUACUGUCAGAACGCUAAAAACUGCAUUUUUUGGCAGAGUAAUAGUUACUUCCUGAAUUCUCCUUUUUGAAUGUCAACAGUAAUGAUGUUCUUCCAACAAUGCUGUCCGUUUGAAUUGAAGACAAGCCCAUUGAUCAAUACGGCAGGUGGAGCGGGAGAUUCGCUUCACACGCACAGCAUUGUGGGAUUUGCGUGUCGAGUACAGUAUUGGUUUAUGGCGAACUCCGCCUUCAUAUAUUUCAUAUUUUGGCAAAAAAUUUACACGUUUUCAUCAUAUGAAUAGAUAUCGGACACCUGGGUAAUGCGACACGAGUUAUUUGGGAAUCGUUUCUUUUUCUCCAUGGAUGGUUUUUGCUCAUCGUUUGCUGUCGUCAGAGUUUGGACACGGGAGUUUCCCGCUCAAUGAUGAGCGCUGUAAGGAGAUUAAAUAUUCUUAUCGGCCACCUCUACAAACUACACGGGUUUCCAAAGAGGGCGGGGCCACCUCUUACAUCACUGCUGACAUGUAAAGGCUUAUGGGAAGUGCAGUUCCUCUCAGUUCAUUUGUCUGCGCUGGCUGUUGGUCUACGGGGUCAAAUCUAGGGGGAGCACCAAGAUGGUUGACGUCUUACAUUAGUGGACACCAAGGAGAGUCCGGCGGAGUGUCAUUUGUUGGGAUGUUCUUAUACUGCUGAGUCAGGAGGUGUCAGACACAUAAAACUGAAGUCCUUUCCAGUGGUGUCAUGGAUGGACGGCUAUCCUGAUGGAGGUGGACCCUCGAUACAGGGGAUGGUCUCACUCAGCCCAAUGGAAGAUGCAUUCAGACUGGAUGGGAGGAAGGCCAGUGUAAUGGAUGGACACUGUGGGGGCAUCCCAGCCAGGAUGGGCUAGUGUUCCCUUUCUUGGUUGAGAGUCUGGGAGGCGAGUUGUGGUUCCAUAGGGCUACCAUACUGGCUUGUGCGGGUGCCAAUAGGAGGCGCUGUUGGGAGGUGAGCCCCCUUUCUUGGGGUGGUUCCCAGAGGCAGUGAUUGAGCACCAGAAGUACCCUCAGAUUAGGUUCAAAUGAGGGAACACGCCACCCAGUGAGGAGAGUUGGACUCGGGAGAAGAGGAGCACAAAGCUCACCUGGGAGGAGUGGCGGAAGAAAAAGGAACAAGAAAAGGGGAUUGUGCUGUGGAAGAAGAGGCCUGGGUGAAGGUGUGUUGAUAAAUCAAAAUGGUCAUUGGAACCUGGGACUGUAGUUGGAGUAAAUGUGUCUGGAGAUUGGGGCUCAGAGAAAUAGAUACAGUGGUCCAGGUAUAGUGGGAUAUGUAAGACACCACACAAUAAAUAGAUAGACAUGAAAGGCACUAUAUAACUGGACAGUCAGUGCAUUUGCUUUUCGUCAAACGUCUUGAGACUGGAUGUCACUCCUUACCCUUCUCUGGCUAGACCUCACACCACUUUGCCCAGUUCACCUUCACAUCUUUUUCUGCUUGUGUAGACCACCACCUCCACGAGGCUCAUGCUCCUAGGUCUGCCAUCACCAAGGUGGCUGUGCUGUAGAUGGGCAGGCAGAGUGGCCGAGCGUCACUGUCACCGGACCCUACACCAGACUUUGUGUGUGACCGUGAGUGACCUACUUGUGUGCCCAAUGCAAAAUAUCCCUGGGAACAGUUGCAGCGUUGCCCGGUCUGGGGUGGCACCUGCCUAAUAUGCCAUGCAGGAAGUUUGUUGGCCCUUAUUGUCUUGCAUUCGUCUUACUUGCACGUAUGUCGCCUCGCGGCUUAUGUCGGUUUCAGCACAUACUGUGCGUGACUGAGUCAGCGUUUUCGGUUUGUAGUCUAAUUUUUAAUUUUAUCUUGGUAUUAUGUGUGUAUUCUUGAUUUGUGCUGCUGUAAU